AAAGGAAUCAUCACUUUUGUGUCUUUGAAAUAUUUACGUAGGAUAUGUGUCUAUUUAAUUAUGAAGAUUCAAUUUAUUUUCACUUGUUUAGUUUUUUUCUUUUUUUCCAUUAUCAGAGCACUGAUAAUUUAUCAUCAAUUACAACAACAAAAAUGGCCUCAUAAUCAACUAAAUGAAUUAUGAUCACUAACGAGUGUCAUGUACUAAUGAAUAUAAGUGCAAAGUGCAAUUUCUUUUCAUUUAGCUGAUUCAUUAAAAUUUGUAUAAUAUACACUUUUAGGAGAACUUUAUGCGAUAAUAAUAUUCAAUACAUUUUUAAAAAAAAGUUAUUAUCUUAAAUGUAAAAAAUAAAAAUAAAACACUCAAGCAUUUGAUCCUUCUUUUAAUUGGCUAUAACGUUAUUGAUUAAAUUGAAUUGUGAUUUGAAAAUAUAAACAAAUUAAUUAGGAGAAUAAUAACAACACCUCAUAGUUUAAAGUAAGUACAAAAGUUGUAAAAUGUUGGAAACCGAAGAAGAAAAAUUGCAGAAGCAUACGUAUGCGUGAUAGUGUUUAGUCAGAUCAGGUGUAGGUAAUUCAAGCAUUCUGAGCCGAGACUAAGCUGUUCAUUCCAAUUAAAAAGAUUUGCGACUAAUUUUAUUUACAUUUGAGAGGAAAAUAAGAAGAACUGGAACAGGGUGAUGGCUGUUGCAAAGCUACAAUUCUCUGUUCGUCCUCUUUAUCGUUCUUUUAUCUCUUCAGCAAGAAUGCUUGAAGAAUCCAUUAAAGCUAUGGUGGAAGAUAAAAGAUAUGAACAGAUUCCUGAUAUUCUAAGCUCUUCGGAAGGGUUUCACCGCACUUCGAAUCCCUUUUCAUUUUUAUCCAAUUUUCCUGAAAACACAAGUGUCAGAAUUGUUGACGAAAUUUUACAGUCUUUUACUCCGAUCAGGCCUCGUUAUCGCCCUCAAAUUGCAUAUUCCUGCCUCCUUUCCUACAGUCUCCAAACCUCAAAUCCUCUCCCACUUGCUCUUGCCAUUCUCCAGCGUACCCUUCGCUCUGGCUGCAUUCCGGUACCUCAAACUCACCUCCUACUCUCCGCUGCAUGGAUGGAACGUCGGAGUAAAUCCCAUUCUGUUUCAAGCAUAUUGUUGGAAAUGCAGGAUAUUGGAUAUGCACCUGAUUGUGGCACUUGCAAUUACCUGAUCUCAUCGCUUUGUAAGGUUGAUCAGAUAGAUGAAGCAGUUAAUGUAUUGAAGGGCAUGGGCCGUGCUGGUUGUUGUCCAGAUUUGGAUUGUUACGGUUCUUUAGUUGACAACUUGUCCGAGCUAAGACUGACGUCUGCUAUCAUAAAGACGUUGAAUGAAAUGGUUGCCAUAUUUGGCUUGAGCCCCAGAAAAGAAACUUUGGUCAAAGCUUUGGCAGCAAUACGGGCUAACAAAGAGAUAAGGAGAGCAAUUGAAGUAAUUGAGUUCUUAACAAAUGAGGGUGUGCAUGUUGGAUUCGAGUGCCACCAGUCAGUCCUUGAAGGGUGCUUAGAGAGCCGGCAGUUUCUUUUAGCUGGUAAGUUUGUGAUAGAAAUGACCAAGAGAGGCUUUAUACCAUACAUAAGGUCAAGGCAAAAGGUUGUCGAAGGCCUGACAAGUAUUGGUGAGUGGAAACUUGCCAAUGCUGUGAGACAGAGGUUUGCAGAGCUAAGGUCGUAGUUCGAUGCAUACUGUGAAUCAGUAAGCUUUAUCUAAAGGGAUCAAGAUCAUUCUCCAGACUGAAGGUACGACUGUAAUUUCAGCAACUCCGUUGGGAGUCCUCUCAGAACUUAGCAUUCCCCAAUAGAGAAACAGUUAGGUAGAAGUGGAGUGCUAGUAUAUAGCAAAUCAAACAAGAGAAGUGAUCUACAAGGAUUUGAAAUUUGGCUUGUGAAAUUUGGCUUGUGGGAGGUGACAGCUAUCCAUGGAAUUAGUUGAGGUGCGUUGGUUCGGACUCCAUGCUCAUCAAUAGAAAAAAUUCCAAAAAUAUUUCAAAAAUCACGGGUGUGAUCUAGUGGUCAAUGAAUUGAAACAAAUUAUAUGAUCUCUCAAUUAAAUUUUAGUGAAGGCAAGAAACAAUUUUUUUUUAAUCGAAAGAUUAACCUGAUAUAUAUGUUGAUAGAAGAUGACAUAUACCCAAUGAAAUAGUAAAGGUACGGCAAGCUGGCCAGUACACUACUAUUAUAAUUUUAAAAAAAAAGUAAGAAUAAUUUUUGAUUGGUAAAAGAGCAAAAAUAUUCUAUUUGCUAUUGUAAUAUUCAUAUUCUUUUGAACCCAAGUUUCAUAUUCUGACAGGGUGUGUGUUAUUUCAGGAAUUUAUGAUAAAGACCCUUUAAUUUUUAUUACUCCAGUAUGGAAAAUAAUUUAUUUUGAGAACUUUUUAAAAAACAAGCUUUUAUCACAUGAAAACAUGUUAGCUACAUAUCAACUUUGAUGCUUCUUUAAGCGUUCCUCUGAACUUUCGAAUCAGCUUGACUAGAAAGUUAGUAUUGAAUUUUUAAAUUGGUGUCUUGACAAGUACUCUUUUGACCUUUUCUUCUGUCACAAAGGAAAGUUCUGUAAUUUUCUUAUAUGUAAUGUUUAAACUAUUUCAAUCUUGAAGUCGAGACCUUUUAACAGUAGAUCUAGCAAGGAAAAAGUAUACACACUUGGGUGAGUUUGGUAUGAUAUGAAAAUGAUUUUUUGCACAAAUAAGUGAAUUUUACUUGUUUUUGAGUGUUCUAUUAGUAAGGAAAUUUUUUUCCAAAAGCAUUUAAAUAUAGUAGUGACAAAUACUAUUGCCCCCCCCCCCCACAAACACGAACCCUUGCUUCGGACUCCGACUCAAAAUCCAAGCCAAACCUGGACUAAACCUAACCCGUAGCCAACAACGACCCCACCAUGACUAGGGACCCGAUGUCGACUCGAGGCCUAACCCUAACACGAGACCGGCCUUGAAAGUGGGUGUGAAAUUUUGUAAUUCUGGUGAAAACAAGGCUAAGGGUGAAGUGCCACAAUCAUAAUCAUUUAGUAUACCUACUUUUAUUAGUUUUUUUUUCUAUUCACACUCUUCCUUUUGAGUGCAUUUGACUUCUAAUUGAAGAUUUUUACAAAAAUAUAUGAUCUUUAUGAAUAUUAUUUUUAUCACAGCAGUACUUAUAUACACGAUAUUUUAUUGUACAUUCGGUAUAAAAGUGUAUAAGAGAUGCUUAUACAUAUUUUUACACUUU